rnacentral:rRNA from 1 species
CUUGACAUCCCGAUGCUAUUUCUAGAGAUAGAAAGUUACUUCGGUACAUCGGUGACAGGUGGUGCAUGGUUAUCGUCAGCUCGUGUCGUGAGAUGUUGGUUAAGUCCCGCAACGAGCGCAACCCCUAUUGUUAGUUGCCAUCAUUCAGUUGGGCACUCUAGCGAGACUGCCGGUAAUAAACCGGAGGAAGGUGGGGAUGACGUCAAAUCAUCAUGCCCCUUAUGACCUGGGCUACACACGUGCUACAAUGGUUGGUACAACGAGUUGCGAGUCGGUGACGGCGAGCUAAUCUCUUAAAGCCAAUCUCAGUUCGGAUUGUAGGCUGCAACUCGCCUACAUGAAGUCGGAAUCGCUAGUAAUCGCGGAUCAGCACGCCGCGGUGAAUACGUUCCCGGGCCUU